rnacentral:rRNA from 1 species
GGGGAAUAUUGGACAAUGGGCGAAAGCCUGAUCCAGCAAUACCGCGUGUGUGAAGAAGGCCUGCGGGUUGUAAAGCACUUUUAGUGGGGAAGAUAAUGACGUUACCCACAGAAAAAGCACCGGCUAACUCCGUGCCAGCAGCCGCGGUAGUACGGAGGGUGCAAGCGUUAAUCGGAAUUACUGGGCGUAAAGCGUGCGUAGGCGGCUCUUUAAGUCGGAUGUGAAAUCCCCGGGCUCAACCUGGGAACUGCAUCCGAUACUGGGGAGCUAGAAUGUGGGAGAGGGAAGUGGAAUUUCCGGUGUAGCGGUGAAAUGCAUAGAGAUCGGAAGGAACAUCAGUGGCGAAGGCGACUUCCUGGACCAACAUUGACGCUGAGGCACGAAAGCGUGGGUAGCAAAC